UGCCUCGGGGGCGACCCGGCCUUCGGGCGUCGGGGCCCCCGGCGGACCUAUAACUCUGCAUCUUUGCGUCUGAGUAUGAUAUUGAAUCAAUCAAAACUUUCAACAACGGAUCUCUUGGUUCUGGCAUCGAUGAAGAACGCAGCGAAAUGCGAUAAGUAAUGUGAAUUGCAGAAUUCAGUGAAUCAUCGAAUCUUUGAACGCACAUUGCGCCCCUCGGUAUUCCGGGGGGCAUGCCUGUUCGAGCGUCAUUACACCCCUCCAGCCUAGCUGGUUAUUGGGCGUCGCGGAUGCACAGUCUGCGCGCCUUAAUGUCGCCGGCCGGACCGACCGUCUCUAAGCGUUGUGGUAACAGUUCGCUUGCGGGCACGGGAGGGACGCAGCCGUUAAACCUCUAUCACAGGUUGACCUCGGAUCAGGUAGGGAUACCCGCUGAACUUAAGCAUAUCAAUAA
rnacentral:rRNA from 1 species